rnacentral:rRNA from 1 species
UACGGAGGGUGCGAGCGUUGUCCGGAAUCACUGGGCGUAAAGGGCGCGUAGGUGGCCUGUGGAAGUCUGCGGUGAAAGCCCGGCGCUCAACGCCGGGUCGGCCGUGGAUACUCUCGGGCUUGAGCUUACUAGAGGCAGAUGGAAUUCCGGGUGUAGCGGUGGAAUGCGUAGAGAUCCGGAAGAACACCAACGGCGAAAGCACUCUGCUGGGCCGACACUGACACUGAGAGACGAAAGCUAGGGGAGCGAAUGGG